AUUGAACGCUGGCGGCAGGCCUAACACAUGCAAGUCGAACGAGCGGCGGACGGGUGAGUAAUGUCUGGGAAACUGCCCGAUGGAGGGGGAUAACUACUGGAAACGGUAGCUAAUACCGCAUACCAUCGGAUGUGCCCAGAUGGGAUUAGCUAGUAGGUGGGGUAAAGGCUCACCUAGGCGACGAUCCCUAGCUGGUAUGAGAGGAUGAACAGCCAAUGUGGAACUUAGACACGGUCCAGACUCCUACGGGAGGCAGUAGUGGGGAAUAUUGCACAAUGGGCGCAAGCCUGAUGCAGCCAUGCCGAGUGUGUGAAGAAGGCCUUCGGGUUGUAAAGUACUUUCAGCGAGGAGGCGUUACUCGCAGAAGAAGCACCGGCUAACUCCGUGCCAGCCGCCGCGGUAAUAC
rnacentral:rRNA from 1 species